GAGUGUGGCUCAGUGGUAGAGCACUUGCCUAGCAUGCACAAAGCCCUGGGUUCCGUCCCCAGCACUC
rnacentral:tRNA from 1 species